rnacentral:lncRNA from 1 species
CAUCAAUGUCAUGCUCACCGAGGAGAAUUACGUGACGUGGAGUCGUGCUGUUAUUAUGGCACUCAGCAUCAAAAAUAAGGAAGGAUUCAUUGAUGGAUCAAUUGUUAAACCUUCCUUAAAUGAUCCUCUUUAUGGUGCUCGGAGGAGAUGCAACCAUGUGGUUUUUUCAUGGAUCAUUAAUUCAAUUCCGAAGGAACUAUAUCCGAGUGUGAUGCAUGAAGACUUUGCAAGAGAAAUCUGGACUAAACUCAGGGAUCGUUACAGCCAGAGUAAUGGUCCUCGCAUAUAUGAGCUCAAAAAUCAAAUUGCUUCGAUUUCUCAAGCAAAUAGUUUUGUUAACUCUUAUUUCAAUCGAUUCAAGGGACUUUUGGAAGCGCUGGACAACUAUAGGCCAGAUAUCGUAAACGGUAAUUACAGAUCUGAGGAUCAGACCAUGUAGUUUCUUAUGGGGCUAGGUGAACAAUUCUCUAGUGUGAGAAGCCAUAUAUUAUUGAUGGAUCCACUUCCUUCACUCAACAAAAUUUUUGCUCUAAUUCUGCAAGAUGAGAGGCAAAAGGAGGUUGUUAAUAGGAGGCAACAAAACUUUGAUGCAACAGCUUUUACCAGUAAGCUUAUUCCCAGAUCUGUUAGUAAUCAAAGAAUUGGUUACUUUAAUCAGUCACAGAGAAAGGUAGGGCCUAUAUGCAGCCAUUGUGGAAUGCUUGGACAUCUUAAGGGAAAGUGCUAUAAGCUCAUUGGCUAUCCACCUGGUUAUAAACUUGCCAAAGAGAAAAAUCCAGUUGUAAAAGUUGUUAGUAAAGUCUUGAGUGACAGCAACUCAGAAGUAAUAACUUCUCUUCAAAAUCUCACUAUUACGCCAGAACAAUGCCAACAACUUUUGACUGUGUUGGUGCCACAGUUGAAAGCACAACUCUCAGCCUGCCAUCAACAACCUCAAGAUGUGAUACCUUCUCCUUCAACGCUUGAUGCCUUUGCUUUCUCAGGUAAUAACACGUCUUAAUGUUCUUGCUGUUGAGGACAAAUGAAUAGUAGACAUUGGAGCUUCACAACAUAUGGUUUGUUUCCUUAAAUACUUGACCACUUUGACUGCAACAAUUAAUGCAUCUGUGACACUACCUGAUGGUAAUAUUGUUGCUGUUACACAUACUAGGACGGUGAAGCUAUCUAUCACCUUGGUUUUAACAAAUGUUUUGGUUGUACCAUGCUUUAAGUUUAAUUUGAUAUCUGCCAGUAAGUUGACACUUAAGCACAAUUGUUUCCUCAUAUUCAUCCACCAUUGUUGUCUUAUUCAGGAUCUUUCAACAUGGAUGACGAUUGGGGUAGGCAAGCUUGAAGAUGGAUUAUAUCAUUUUCAGCAACCUGAACACCAAAGCAGUGAUCAAUCCUAAUGUAAUUCCCAACAUCAUAUAACAAACUCCAUUGUCUUUCAUAGUUCAAACAAUAAUUCUGUCUUAUCUUUGAAAUGUAAUAAAGGAGAUCUUAUUGUCUGUACUUCCUUUAACAAUAUUGUUGUCAAUACAAACAUUGAUGUUUGGCAUUGUCGCUAGGGAAAUAUUCCUGUUUCUAAG